CCUUGUGGAAUAUAUAUUGGAACUGCACCCCUCAAAAUGUACAAACCGAUACCGGUGUUGGAUUAACCAGCGGCUACGGAUGGAUACGGUGAGACAAGGGAUCGGAAGUUUUGGAUACAACCAUGCAGAUAUUGAAGACAAGGUCCAAUGUCCGUCGCUCAUAAGAUCAACGUAAACGUGGAUUGUAUACUGUCAUUAGUCUCCGUUUGCGACCACUACCGACGAGUAUUGUAUUUUAAUGAAAUUCAUAGCAAAAAAAGAUAACAUUGUAUGCAAACUUAUGUCCUAGAUGAUGACAAAUCCUGCGUAUUUUGAGCCGUCGGUCAAAAUAACGUCCAGAUUUAAACUCAAAGUGAGACAUGUCAUAGCGCAACUCCAGCGAUCCCAGCGUACAAACAGGGAGCUUCUGAUGCUAUGUGUGGUAUGGUGAGCUUUCAA